rnacentral:rRNA from 1 species
UACGUAGGUGGCAAGCGUUUGUCCGGAUUUAUUGGGUUUAAAGGGUGCGUAGGCGGUUCAAUAAGUCAGUGGUGAAAUACGGGCAGCUCAACUGUCGAGGUGCCAUUGAUACUGUAGAACUUGAGUACAGACGAGGUAGCGAAUUGACGGUGUAGCGGUGAAAUGCUUAGAUAUCGUCAAGAACACCGAUAGCGAAGGCAGCUUACUAGACUGUAACUGACGCUGAGGCACGAAAGUGUGGGGAUCAAACAGGG